UCCUUCUGCUCAAAAGAACAGUGCUAAAACUGCAUAGUUCAGGUUUUUCCUGUUCUAUGCAGUAAUGCCAGUACUGUUGCACAGUGGACGGAGAUAAAUAUUGCCCUGCACCGGAAAUGAAACUUGGCUGGACCUCUUUCUUAAUGUCCAGUGGCCAUUGUUUCAAGGUCCAGCGCUACAUCA